rnacentral:rRNA from 1 species
AACGAACGCUGGCGGCACGUUUUAAGCAUGCAAGUCGAACGGCAGUGGGGGCAACCCCAUGAGAGUGGCGAACGGGUGAGUAACACGUAGGUGAUCUGCCUUUGGGUUGGGGAUAGCUUGUGGAAACACAGGGUAAUACCGAAUGAGCUGACGAGGCUUUGGCCAUGUUAGUAAAGGUGCUACGGCACCGCCUAGAGAGGAGCCUGCGGCUGAUUAGCUAGUUGGUGGGGGAAAGGCCUACCAAGGCGACGAUCAGUAGCCGGCCGGAGAGGGUGUACGGCCACACCGGAACUGAGACACGGUCCAGACUCCUACGGGAGGCAGCAGCUAAGAAUCUUCCGCAAUGGGCGAAAGCCUGACGGAGCGAUGCCGCGUGAUCGAUGAAGGUCGAGAGAUUGUAAAGAUCUUUUCCAACUGAGGAAUAAGUGGACCAGGGAAUGGGUUCAUGAUGACGUCAAGUUGGGAAUAAGCCCCGGCUAAUUACGUGCCAGCCGCCGCGGUAA